rnacentral:rRNA from 1 species
GAUGAACGCUAGCUACAUGCUUAACACAUGCAAGUCGAGGGGAAACGGCAUUGAGUUCUUGCACUCUUUUGACGUCGAGCGGCGCACGUGUGAGUAACGCGUAUUCACCCUUCCCAUUACUUUGGUUUAACCUGCCGAAGGGCAGACUAAUACCUCAUUGUAUUCGCUUGCUUCGUUAGUUUUGAAGUAAAUUUUUAUCGGUAAUGGAUGGGCUUGCGUCUGAUUAGCUUGUUGGCGGGGUAACGGCUAACCAAGGCUACGAUCAGUAGGGGUUCUGAGAGGAAGGUCCCCCACAUUGGAACUGCGACACGGACCAAAACGCUACGGGAGGCAGCAGUGAGGAAGAUUAGGCAAUGGACGGAAGUCUGAACCAGCCAAGUAGCGUGCAGGAUGACGGCCCUAUGGGUUGUAAACUGCUUUUGGAUGGGGAUAAAGUUAGGGACGGGUCCCUAUUUGCAGGUACCAUACGAAUAAGGACCGGCUAAUUCCGUG